AGAUUGAACGCUGGCGGCGGGCCUAACACAUGCAAGUCGAGCGGUAGAGAGGUGCUUGCACCUCUUGAGAGCGGCGGACGGGUGAGUAAUGCCUAGGAAUCUGCCUAGUGGUGGGGGAUAACGUUCGGAAACGGACGCUAAUACCGCAUACGUCCUACGGGAGAAAGCGGGGGACCUUCGGGCCUCGCGCCAUUAGAUGAGCCUAGGUCGGAUUAGCUAGUUGGUNA
rnacentral:rRNA from 1 species